rnacentral:rRNA from 1 species
AUUGAACGCGGGCGGCAGGCCUGACACAUGCAAGUCGAACGGUAGCACAGAGAGCUUGCUCUCGGGUGACGAGUGGCGGACGGGUGAGUAACGUCUGGGAAACUGCCCGAUGGAGGGGGAUAACUACUGGAAACGGUAGCUAAUACCGCAUAACGUCGCAAGACCAAAGUGGGGGACCUUCGGGCCUCACACCAUCGGAUGUGCCCAGAUGGGAUUAGCUAGUAGGUGGGGUAAUGGCUCACCUAGGCGACGAUCCCUAGCUGGUCUGAGAGGAUGACCAGCCACACUGGAACUGAGACACGGUCCAGACUCCUACGGGAGGCAGCAGUGGGGAAUAUUGCACAAUGGGCGCAAGCCUGAUGCAGCCAUGCCGCGUGUAUGAAGAAGGCCUUCGGGUUGUAAAGUACUUUCAGCGGGGAGGAAGGCGGUGAAGUUAAUAACUUCACCGAUUGACGUUACCCGCAGAAGAAGCACCGGCUAACUCCGUGCCAGCCGCCGCGGUAA